CUCUUUCUCUGCUCUCACUUUACCUUUCAAACCUAGCAGUUUCUUCAUCCUUCAAACCCCUAGCAGUUUCUUCAUUGCCGUCAUCUCUUUGCAAAUCCAUUCAACAUCUCGUCGGUGAAUGUUUUGAAUCGAAGGUGAAGUCGAAGAUUUGAAGACUUUUGCGAAAACGUUUAUCAGAUGCUCUUAGUUUAUCGAAUCUCAGAAUGCUUCAUAUCUCGCACAUCUCAUGUACAACGAAACUUAGUGAAGGUCAUGGAUGUCUUGAUGUCACUGCAACAAUCUCAACUGGAUGCUGAUGAUCCAACUACAAGCUACCUGUUAUAAGUAUAAUCCUUUUUUCCUUCCAUGCCCUGUCUGUUCAGUGCAGUUGAAAUUGGCUUAUGCUGAAGCUUCAUUUAAAUUAAACUGCAAGUAUAAUUUGACAGAGGCACUUUUGUUUUGUUGCAUUUUGUCGGGGAUGUACAUCUGAUCUCAAUGCUUCUCAAGUUUCAAACGCCACAGUUGCUGCUUCACGUCGAUACCGCCCGUAAAGCUUCCGGACCAAUAUGUAAUUUAGAAUGGUUUAUAACAUUAAUACAAACCAGUUAUAAUGAAUGCUUAUAUUAUUUGCUCACUCCUUGGAAAUUUUAUGCAUUGGUUUGUAUCUAUCUCAAUCUGUAUAUAUUAUUUAAGGAAUGGGAUCCCAAUACGAUUCGAGAUAUUUGCUUCUUACUUUAUAGAAUAGGUGUCAUAUUUUCCAUAUUUGAUUCAUUAUAGAUUCAAAAUGUUAUAUGAAAGCGCAUAAACACGUCAAUGCUAUUUGUAGGUGAGUCACAUCUCCGUGUUGUCGCCCAAUCGUAUGGGCUUGAAUGACAGGGAUAUUGUUGCACUGUAUGGGGCACAUACACUGGUGAUUCUUCUUUCGUAUAUAUCUUUUUAUUACAUGCUGUGAUUGCGGAAUUAUGCUGGCAGGAUGCUGUGACGAGUGUGUUGUUACUGUAUAUAGUUCGAGUGGCGAGACGAAUGCUCUUGAUGAUGGUGGUAAGAAUGUGUCUCAUGCGGAAGAUGCUUUGUUUAAGAUUCAUGAUAGAGUCGUUGCUGAGGAAUUACACAGUGAUCAGGAGGAAGAAUGCGGUCCUCAAGUGACUGCUAGGCUGUUAGUGCCGGCUGAUCAGAUAGGAUGUGUUCUUGGAAAAAGCGGGCAGAUUGUUCAGACCAUGCGCAGUGAAACUGAGGCUCAUAUUCGUAUACUUAAGGAUGACCAUAUGCCUCUAUGUGCCUUGCGCUCUGAUGAGUUUGUGCAGUUCUUUGAAGAAAAUUUCUCUCAAACAAUAGAAGCUUCCAAGGGCGGAGAACUUAUACCAUAUCUGACAUUGCUUAUUAAUAACUUUUAUUUUCAACAGCUUUUCUAUGUUAUGUUAAUGUAUAGAAAAUACCAAGACUUAUUUAUUCUUUAUAAUAAUAUUUUUUUAUUCUAAUAGAAAGAAACAUUAUAUAAUUUAUUAAAAUUAUUUAAUAUUUUUAAACACUUAUAAAUUAAGGUUAAAAAUAAUUGUUGUUUAACAUAAAAAUGAUUUUAUCUAUGCGAAUGUACUGAUAUUUAACUACAUAUUUUUGCUAGGUUUAUUUUUGAUAAUUUUUGUUUGUAAUAAAUAUAAUUUUAUAAUUUUAUUUUGUAUUAUAAUAAAAUUUUUUUUAAUUUAUCUAUCUCACGGGUAACUAUCAACAUAAUAUUUAUUUUAUUUUAAUUAAUUAUUAUCUUAAUUUAAUAUUUAUUUUAUUUUAAUUAAUUAUUAUCUUAAUUUAUAAGCUAGAAUCUUUAUUUUUAAAUAUUAUUUUUAUCUCCAUCACAAAUGUUCUUUUUCUUUUUGUAUGAUUAUUUAAUAUAAUUAAAUCUAUAUGAGUGUUGUUCAUUUUGUAAUUAAUUAAAUCAUUUCAAAUUUUGAAUUUAUAUUUAAAAUAAAAAAUAAUAAGUUGACGCAACACCAGCACUGUGCAUACGUUUUUCAUAUGUUUAUCAAAAUAAAUUUUAAUAAAAUUAAUAAUUUAUUUAUCUUACGGGUCACUAUCAACACUAUUUAUUUUAAUUUAAUUAAUCAUUAUCUUAAUUUAAGAGACAAUUUUUAUUUUUAAAAGUUAUUUUAAUUAAUCAUUGUCUCAUGUUUUUCUAAAAUGUUCACAUGUGACUAUACCGUUAAUAUUUUUUUCAAUUUUAUUUACUCUUUAACAUUUAGUGAUCCAUAUCCCUUUCUUUUAAUUGUUGUUGGGCUGUCAAUUAUUCAAUUCAACACUUGGUCUUACUUUGCUAUUGUGUUUUCGACCUAUCUUAAAUUUUUUUUGUGGAUAAUUAUUUUAACUUAGAACCUAAUUUCCUCACUACUAAUAUCUUAUUAGUAAAAAAAAAAUAUCGUUAAUUUUUAUUUUAUAUAUGCAAUUUGGUCAAACUUCUUUAUUUCGUAUUUUUCAUAUGGUUCAAAAAAUACUACACAAUAAAAAUGCACCCGUGCGACAGCACGGGUCUCUGACUAGUUUAAUAUUAGUAGAUACAAUACACUGCAGGUUUUCAUUUCACGUGGGCCAGUGUGUGUAUGGGAUGGUCAUAACAUGAGGCUCCAUCUCUCCCUCUUUCAUAAACUACUUAGCCGUCAAUUGACUCAUUUCUUUUUGUUUUUAUUCUUUUGCACUCUCAUCAUCAUCAUCUCAUUCAUACACAAACCCAAACUCUCCAAUUUUUCCUUCAUUUCAUUUCUUCACAAAUAGAUAUUGGAUUACCAAACGUCACAAAAUUUAUGUGUACUAUUAUUGUGUGGCCAUG